rnacentral:rRNA from 1 species
UACGUAGGGGGCUAGCGUUGCUCGGAAUUACUGGGCGUAAAGGGCGCGUAGGCGGGUCGUUAAGUCGGGGGUGAAAGCCCAGGGCUCAACCCUGGAAUUGCCUUCAAUACUGGCGACCUUGAGUAUGGCAGAGGUGUGUGGAACUCCGAGUGUAGAGGUGAAAUUCGUAGAUAUUCGGAAGAACACCAGUGGCGAAGGCGACACACUGGGCCAUUACUGACGCUGAGGCGCGAAAGCGUGGGGAGCAAACAGG